UCACAGUACUAGACCUCCAUUCCAUGGCAAACCUGCUAACCAGCACAACAAAGCAAACAACAUUUCCAACAGCAAAGUCCACUCCAAAAGCUUCAUCAAUCAACAAAGAAAGAUCAACAAUGACUGCCAUUUCCACGACUGAAUCCUCAAUGUCCACAAAACAAGUUUCAGCUGUUCCUUAUGAUAUUCACACUGAA